rfam:Myotis davidii contig112438, whole genome shotgun sequence.
GGCGGUUCUUGGGUGAUGCACCCAGAACCAGAGAGGAGGGAGCCCGAUUCCAGGGUGCAUCACCCAAGAACUGCC